GGAUUCGCGUAGCUCAGUUGGAAGAGCAUUGGGCUAGUAUUCCGAGGGUCGUGGGUUCGAAUCCCACCGUGGCCG